rnacentral:rRNA from 1 species
GAUCAUGGCUCGGGACGAACGCUGGCGGCGUGCCUAACACAUGCAAGUCGAACGGAACUGUUUUGAAAGAUUUCUUCGGAAUGAAUUUGAUUUAGUUUAGUGGCGGACGGGUGAGUAACGCGUGAGUAACCUGCCUUCAAGAGGGGGAUAACAUUCUGAAAAGAAUGCUAAUACCGCAUGACAUAUCGGAAUCACAUGGUUUUGAUAUCAAAGAUUUAUCGCUUGAAGAUGGACUCGCGUCCG